AAAAUAUUCCCUCAUAGCUUUACAGCCUCCAAAUAUGCCAAAGGAAUUUGUUCUGUGUUUCAUCAGAUAGCUUCUCUCACACUAUAAGAGAAAGGCAACAAAACUCUCUUAACACCAGAGCCUCACAAUUGUUCAGUCUCCCUAAGAAUCAAUGAGUAGUAGCUCUUCUAACAAGAAGCUUGAGGUUCAAACAGAAGAUCAAACUCCACAUAAAUGGUGUGUCUCACUUGGAGAAGAGGCUUUCAAGAGAUUCUUCAGCCAGACUAAUCCAACAGUGCAUAAGGUUUUUGGAGAUGGAUCACUUUUCAGUCCACUGUUGUUUGGGAAGUUCUUUGAUCCUUCUGAUGCCUUCCCUCUUUGGGAGUUUGAGUCAGAUGUGUUGUUAUCUCAUUUAAGGAGCUCCAGCCAAAACCCUGUGGAUUGGAGUGAGACUGAUGAAGGCUAUACAUUAAAAGCAGAAAUACCAGGAACUGGGAAAAGUAACAUUCAAGUCCAUGUUGAUAAAGGGAAGGUUGUGGAAAUUAGUGGACAGUGGAAGCAGCAAAGAGACUCAAAGGCACAUGACUGGAGGUGUGGCCAUUGGUGGGAAUAUGGAUAUGUACGAAGGCUUGAGAUGCCAGAGGAUGCAGAUUGGAAGAACAUAGAAGCUUACAUACAUAAUGACACAUAUCUAGAAAUACGAAUACCGAAGAGCCAACACGGUUCUGAUCUUGCUCAGGGAAAGGAUGUGGCUUAAACAAAUGCAGAAGCAGUGUAAAUUUAAGAGAAUAACAGGUACUGCUACUAGAGUUUGUCACAAUCUAGUAGCAACUUGUAUGCAAAUUGAUACCAAACAUUUAACAAAGUUAUAACUCAAGUUUCCAACUAAUAUGACCCAACAUGAGAAGGCCUUGUGAUGAUGUAAAACAUAUUUAUGCAAAAGAAGGGAAUAAAAAGAAAAUUUGAGAUUAUUGAAAGAACGAAGAAAGGACUUUACUUAUAAAGUUGGGAAGAAUAUGAGGAAUGGCCAAUGCAAUAUCAUGUCUAAAAUCCUGAUCUCCACACUCUUCAACUACCACAGCAUAAAUUUCUAUUGAGGGUUACAAGUUUUCAGAUAAAAUACACAGAAAAAAAGUUGAAAA